rnacentral:rRNA from 1 species
UACAGAGGGGGCAAGCGUUGUUCGGAAUUACUGGGCGUAAAGGGCGCGUAGGCGGCCUGCUAAGUCGAACGUGAAAUCCCCGGGCUCAACCCGGGAACUGCGUCCGAUACUGGCAGGCUUGAAUCCGGGAGAGGGGUGCGGAAUUCCAGGUGUAGCGGUGAAAUGCGUAGAUAUCUGGAGGAACACCGGUGGCGAAGGCGACAUCCUGGACCGGCAUUGACGCUGAGGCGCGAAAGCCAGGGGAGCAAACGGG